UUGAAUUUAUUUUAGAAUUGGAUCAUUUUUAUUUUGCUUUUGAUUGAAUUUUGUAUAGUGAUUGUUCGUUGGGAGUUAAUGAGUUGGAAUGAUGUGGUUUUAAGUCCAAAAUCGUUCGGUGAAGCUAUUGGAAUCUUGUUGCAGUAAGAUCUCAACUACAUAGUUGCAUUCACAGUGUUUGAAAGUGGGCCUUGCCCAUAAUAGUUUCAUUGUGACCAAGCUUAACGUUCUUUAUUCUAAAUAUGCAUUAAUCAGCCAUGCAUAUAAGGUGUUUGAAGAAACUCCUCAUAAAAGUAAAAAGACACAUUCACCGCAAUUAUCUCUUGGGCGGAAAAUAUCUACUCUUGAGAGGUUGCUUGAUUUAUCCAUUCCAAUUCAAUAUACUGAAACUGUGAAUGAAAUCCUAGAAAAGUACAAACAAGGUGAUACAACACUUGGUAAUGAUGCUGAAAGAACAGAGCAUACCUUUACACUUGAGAGCUUCUUCUAUUAUUUUUAUCAGCCAAGACCCUCCAUUGGACAACUUCAGGAUUGAGAACCACAAAGGACUUGCCGAAAUGAUUCAGGAUCAAGAUUAUUGUGAGGAAGCAUGUCAUCUUGCACCAAUCACGUGGUUUUGGCUUGUCACAACCACAUAAGUAUUCACUUGGAAAGCUUGGACGGGAGGGCAAUCAGAGUGAAUGUUGCUGAGGAAAGGCCCAGGCGUAGCUCCUUUUGAGUGGUAACUCAAGCCAGUGAAUUUCUUUUUGAGUUAGGUGUGUUCUCAGCCAAACUCAAAAUUUUACCAAUGAUUGAAGAUGUUGAGGUGCAUUUCAUUUCUUGGAUGACGAAAAGGAUACUAAGGACCUUAUUCAGGACUCUAUAAGGAUGCUAGAGGAAGGUGGUGAAGGGGAGUCAUUUGUAUGCAUUAGAAGACUUCGAUUCCUCUCACAGGUGACAAAGACAUAUAAGGAAUCAACUCUUAACAGAAUUGUGCAAUUGAUUGAAGGCACAACUGAAUAAACCUAAACUUCAAAGGUGGCUGGACGAUUUUGGUGAAAGUUACAGCAAAGUUGUUGUGGUGUUUUCAAUUGUUAUUGCUGUUAUUGGGCCACUUGUAUUUAAGUGGCCAUUCACUAGUACUUCUGGUAAUUUUUAAAUUCUUUUACUCUAGUAUUGUUGUACAAUAUAGUUUAUAAAUUUUGAAAAUUUGUACACAAAUAAUGAUUUCAUGUUGGUGG